GACGAACGCUGGCGGCGUGGAUUAGGCAUGCAAGUCGAACGGUAGGAUACCUUCGGGUAUCUGAGAGUGGCGAACGGGUGAGUAACACGUAGGUGAUCUACCCUCAAGAUUGGGACAACCCAGGGAAACUUGGGCUAAUACCGGAUGAAAGCAGCAGUGAUGUUGUUUGAAAGGUGGCGUAAGCUGCCGUUUGGGGGAUGAGCCUGCGCUCUAUUAGUUAGUUGGCGGGGUAACGGCCCACCAAAGCAACGAUCAGUAGCCGGCCUGAGAGGGCGGACGGCCACAUUGGGACUGAGACACGGCCCAGACUCCUACGGGAGGCAGCAGUGGGGGAUAUUGCACAAUGGGCGCAAGCCUGAUGCAGCGACGCCGCGUGAGUGAAGAAGUAUUUCGGUAUGUAAAGCUCUAUCAGCAGGGAAGAAAGGCCCUUUUAGGGUAGGAUGACGGUACCGUCGUACUAAGUAAAGCCCCGGGCCCGUAACUUACGUGCCGACGCAGCCGCCGGUAAGGACUGGUAGUCGUUCG
rnacentral:rRNA from 1 species